AGCGGCGGACGGGUGAGUAAUGCCUGGGAAAUUGCCCUGAUGUGGGGGAUAACCAUUGGAAACGAUGGCUAAUACCGCAUAAUAGCUUCGGCUCAAAGAGGGGGACCUUCGGGCCUCUCGCGUCAGGAUAUGCCCAGGUGGGAUUAGCUAGUUGGUGAGGUAAUGGCUCACCAAGGCGACGAUCCCUAGCUGGUCUGAGAGGAUGAUCAGCCACACUGGAACUGAGACACGGUCCAGACUCCUACGGGAGGCAGCAGUGGGGAAUAUUGCACAAUGGGCGCAAGCCUGAUGCAGCCAUGCCGCGUGUGUGAAGAAGGCCUUCGGGUUGUAAAGCACUUUCAGUCGUGAGGAAGGUAGUGUAGUUAAUAGCUGCAUUAUUUGACGUUAGCGACAGAAGAAGCACCGGCUAACUCCGUGCCAGCAGCCGCGGUAAUACGGAGGGUGCGAGCGUUAAUCGGAAUUACUGGGCGUAAAGCGCAUGCAGGUGGUUAGUUAAGUCAGAUGUGAAAGCCCGGGGCUCAACCUCGGAACUGCAUUUGAAACUGGCUGACUAGAGUACUGUAGAGGGGGGUAGAAUUUCAGGUGUAGCGGUGAAAUGCGUAGAGAUCUGAAGGAAUACCAGUGGCGAAGGCGGCCCCCUGGACAGAUACUGACACUCAGAUGCGAAAGCGUGGGGAGCAAACAGGAUUAGAUACCCUGGUAGUCCACGCCGUAAACGAUGUCUACUUGGAGGUUGUGGCCUUGAGCCGUGGCUUUCGGAGCUAACGCGUUAAGUAGACCGCCUGGGGAGUACGGUCGCAAGAUUAAAACUCAAAUGAAUUGACGGGGGCCCGCACAAGCGGUGGAGCAUGUGGUUUAAUUCGAUGCAACGCGAAGAACCUUACCUACUCUUGACAUCCCGAGAACUUUGCAGAA
rnacentral:rRNA from 1 species